rnacentral:SRP_RNA from 1 species
ACCAGGAGCUGUGGCCCGUGCCUGGAGUCCCAGCUAUUUGGGAGGCUGAGACUAGAGGAUCUCUUGAGUCCAGGACUUCUCGGCUGUAUUGCGCUAUGCCAAUUGGGUGUCUAUACUAAGUUCGGCAUCAGUAUGGUGAUCUCCCUGGAGCGGGGGACCACCAGGUUGCCUAAGGAGGGGUGAAUCAGCCCAGGUUGGAAACGGAGCAAGUCAAAACUCCCAUGCUGCUCAGUAGUGGGAUCACGCCUGUGAAUAGCCACUGCACUACAGCCUGGGCAACACAGCGAGAUCCUGUCUCU